AGCUCCAUAAAAAGCUCAAACCUGCCACUUCAGCAGGGGUUGCUCUGGGAUCAGACGGGGUGAGAAAGUUCUGUGGAGCUGUGAUUUAAAUGAGAAACACAGAUGUUCAUCCAGGAUUCCUGGCUCACAGCUCCUAAAACCCUCAUCGCUUCCUUAGUGAGCAGAACAGCAGGAGGGUCUUUCGCUAUAAGAUCUGGUGUCUUCCUUCUUGAGACAGCUGCGGAACUGUAAGGUGAGAGGUUGUUGUCUAUAAGAAGCCUAUUUAAGCCACACCUGGCCUUACUUUGAGAUGGUUUUUGGAAAGUCCCUAGAGUCACAGGGACCUCCCAUGGAUGACAGGCCUGGACUUUCCCUGGCACCUGAAGUGGGGCAGCCUCGUGGGAUGGAGCUGUUAACCCAUGAGACCUGACACAGUUGCAAGGUAGGUAGCAGCAGAAGUAAACGGAAUUAUAGGACUCUCAGCUGGUGAAGGAGAGCUGGUCAGCUUGGGAGAAGCCCCCACAUCUGGUUUCAGGACUGAAGUGUGGAACGUGUUAAGUGUGUAGCAGAAGAAAAACAGUUUGGCUUUUUUUCCUGCUUUUCAAGUUCUAGGAACAUUAGAAAUCUUCCUGGAGAAAGAAAAUGAAGAGAUCUUAGUGUCUC
rnacentral:lncRNA from 10 species